GGGGUGGGGAGGUGUCAGACAUCCCCACAAGAACCAGAGACGAGCAGGCAUGGGUGCAGGGCAGUAGAAGGAAGGAGGAAACAGAUGUGGGUUUUUAAGGCUGGCAAGAGACACCAAGGAGACCAACCCCCUCCUUUGAGAAGCCAGGAGUCUCAAGAUGGAGGAGGAAGUGACUUAUUCCAGACUACUUGAAUAGCUUCCUGGGAAUGGGGCUUCCUUGGUGCUGAGUGCACACCGAGACUGGGAUCUUUCUACACAUCCUUGGAACGGGUCCUAUCGCUCUUCUGGAAAGGGGAGCUACAUCUAAGGCAAGGCCAAGUACUGAAGAUGGUGAACUAGAUCAGGAGAUGACUCAAGCCUAACAACAACUCAGCUGAAGCAUGAACUCCAGACUGGAACAGAUUCCAGGCUAGGUCUUGAGUCUUCUUCCGUUUUUUUGUUUUGUUUUGUUUUGUUUUGUUUUGUUUUUUAAGUAGGCCAGCAUGGAGCCCAAUGCGAGGCUUGAACUGAUGACCCUGAGAUCAAGAUUUGAGCUGAGAUCUGAGCUGAGAUCAAGAGUCAGACACUUAACCAAGUGAGCCACCCAGGCACCCUACUGAGCUUUCUUCCUUUAAGGUGAACUGGAGAUAUCCUUCCAAGGAAGGGAUUCUCACUCGGAGAGAAUGAAAUGAUGCCCGGGCUUUCUGUAUCCCCACCUUCCCCCUACUCUCAACGCCCAGUCCGGUGCCAGGCCCAGAGGAUGGUCAAUGAGCAUGUAUCCAUUAAACAGCAUUGCAGGCA